GGUAACACACCUUCCUCUCGUCUGUAGUGGUGUCACACCAGGCUCCUGUAGGUAAGACACCUUCCUAUAGUCUUUAGUGGGGUCACACCAGGCUCCUGUAGGUAAUACACCUUCCUAUAGUCUGUAGAGGUGUCACACCACGCUCCUGUAGGUAACAUAUUGUCCCUCCACCAUCUGUUUGGAGACCAGAACCUUGCUGUUACCAUGACACAUAUGAUACAUAUAGUAGAUGUUGUGCACUUUCAAAAUGCCCUGAACAGCAGCGUUUGAAGCUUCAGAAAAGAUAAUAGCCCUGUUUAGUAAUCUUUUGAGGUAAGCACCCCAAAAAAAAAAAAAAAAUACAGCUGCUAAUUUUCAUAAUAAAAACCAGUGGAAGCCAAUUAAAUGUAGUGUUUCCUGUACUUGAACAUUUUCUAUUCAGAUGAAAUUGUUUACGCAUAAUGACAGAAACAAGUUUUGUAUUUUUUUGUAAUUUAUUUAUUAUUCUGGAGAAAAAAUGAAUUGUGGCUUAGCUGGUGUAGGAAACAGAGUUUUUGUCAGGAAGGGGGUAAUACUUGAUGUGGAUGACAAGUAGUGUUUAUUUCUGAUUGAUGUAAAUAUAGAUGUUAACAAUAUUAUAUAGUGAGAUACCCCAGAGAUUUGCUAUCUUUGUAUUGUGAUGUGUACUGCGGUAUUACAAACCCGGUAUAAGUAUUAGUGCUGAGGGACGUUCUGGUCAGACAGGUGUUUAUGGCAGCCUCUAAUGUAUUUCAUAAAAUAUUUCAACUUCCUGUAUGGUCAUGGUCUCAUCUCGAAGGUGAUAGUCAAAUAUUUUAAGUAAAAUGAUACCUUGAACAUUGAAUCUAUAUAUACAAUUCUGGAACAAAUGUACUGCAGAAACGAAUGUGAAUUACGCCUUUACAAUAUUAGUGCUGGGAAACUCUACAGGUAAAUGUAACAAGGUUAAAAACCUAGAGAGAAAAAAACAUGAAUAAACAAAACGAAUACUGGAAUAAUAAGGUGAAACCUUUCUGACAUGGUAGAGAACCGAACCUGAUGUUAGACUACUGCCAUAAGAUUUGAUGGGUGACCAGACUUUCUUUCAGAAGUGCAAGUAGUCUGCAAUAUAUUUAUAUACCUGUGAUGUGGCCUAGGUGUAGUGCUGUAAUCAUGUAACAUCAUUAAGCAGGACACUGAUCAGUUGGUCAGUCCUGUGCUAUUACUCGGGACAGGUCGGUUUGUUGGUCCUGUGUCAUAACUUGGGAUGCUGGUCAGUCUGAUGGUCCUGUGUCAUUAUUCGGGACUGGUCAGUUGGUCAGUCCUGUGUCAUUAUUCGGGAAUGGUCAGUCGGUUAGUCUUGUGUCAUUACUUUGGACUGGUCAGUUGGUCAGUACUGUGUCAUUGCUUGGGAUGCUGGUCAGUUGACCGGUCCUGUGUCAUUACUCAUUGAUGAUUUGCCUAAUUCUAAUGAAACAUUAAUCCACCCAAUUGGGCGGAAAUAAAGUAUAUGUAAAAUUG